AAUUACUUAUAAAAGAUGCUUAAAGCUAAGAUUCAUAUAUGUUAUUUGAGGUUGAGAAGAAAAAUUGGCCCCAUGGACCUUAGCUUUAAACAUCUUUUAAUUAUCUUUAUACUAUAAUGAAAUUAUUUUGAAAAUUUUUUGACCAAAUUACCUCUAUUUUCCAAAACACAACUCUCAAUAAGAUUGAGAUAAGAAGCAUCUAUUCCCAGCUGCCCGAGCUACACCAAGUUUCAACAGUUGUACCAUUGUUAUUAUACAUACGCCUUUUUCCCCUUUUUCUUUUUUCCUCUUUUCCCUUUCGCAUGAUAAAUCCCUCCACAAAUUCCUUAAAACACAGCCUUUCUUGGUAGCGUGCACUUCAGAAAUCAUGAGGAAGAUACACAUGGAAACACGUGUAUGAACACGUACAACUAUAAAGGAACUUUCAGAAUAGUGACAUAACAAUUAACAGGAUGUAACCAUUACCUAAGCAGGAAAACUAUGUCUCCUAAUUUUAUUUUAUUUAUGUAAUUCUUGUAGACAAAACAGAAAUGGAACACAUACUCUUUUUUAGCUAAUUGUAAGGGAGUAAAAUAUACAAUGACAUAGUCUGGUCUUGUUAAGAAAGAGGCCUCCGCCGAGAUAUUGCUAUGAAAGUAAGUUCGAUGGUCCUCUGUGGUGCUCAGUAUAGACACAGUCGAACACAUGCAUUGUCCGAGGUAAGGCUAUCGUUACUUCUUGAGCUAUGCUUAGUUAGAAAGUUUGGAAGAAUAGCUGCGCAGAGCAUUGGACAAGGGCAAACGACGGCAACAAUCCGAGGGAUGUUAGAGGACCAAAGGUAAUUACAACGUCAAAGUUUCUUCGAACAGCCCCAUGUCUGGGACGAAGACUGACCACAUGAUGAACGUUACCAGCCAAGCCAUACAAAGCGUGGGGAGUUCAGCUGCCUACUCACCCAAAUACAGCAGACAGCGUGUUCGAGCAAGAACCGCAAGUCAUCAAUGACAAGACAGUAGCGCACUCCAAGGCAAUGCACCGAGCAUGUUUGUCAUAUAAAUUCAGCCUUUAUUUAUCGAAAAAUGUACAUGAAUUCAAUCCUAGAAGACAUAUACAUCUCUAUGGCAUAUGUUUUUCGGUCAUUUAACUUGACCUUCGUAGAAGCCAUUUUUUAAACAAACAGCCCAGCAGCCGAUCGCACUGUUUAUGUGCUUACAAACAUAGAUCCUUGCCAACUAAUAACUGACUACAGCAACCGCACCAUCGUAAGAUCACUGUAAGUGGCCUAUCCUUAAUUUUCUUCCUUCAUUUUUAUAACCCAUAACACAAUCAUUUUUUUCCACAAGGCAAAAAAAAACUCUAAUGGAACCUCAAUGUAAACGAUGAGGGAGAGGGGUUUCUUCCAAAACACCAGAGAGCAAUGGUUUUUCAAAUAACACAAACCAGCAAAUGAUUGUUUCAUCUACCACUAAAUAAAGAUUAGCUUAGUUUAGCAAUAAAAGUUUGACUAAAACACUAUCAAAGAUGAUUUUUAUGUCAAUAAAAAUACUCCUUUGAUUGAAUUAUAUUCCGUUAAAAGGCCGAGAAAUCAAAACGAAACACCAGAGGGGCAAGGAGCAAAAAACAAAGAUCCAAAACCCUGUGCCAAAGAGAGAGAGAGAUCAUGAUUCAACAAAGCAAUCUUUCAAAGGAUAAAAAACAAACAAAUGCAACUGAUAACCGUAACAUACCAAGAAGAAGGAUGCAACAGCUGCGGUUGCGAGCUCCUUGUCCAAGCAGCGGUUUUUCCUCGAAGAGGUUGCUUCAUAGCUGCAACACAAAUUAUCGUCGUUCAAAAACGCAACUUAUGAGUUUUGAAAAGUGGAGAAAUGUGUAAACGGACACACUUUGAAGUUGUGUGUGGAUCAAAGAUUUGAGGAACUUCUUUCUAUUACCAUUUCUUUUCAGUUCACAAUUCCAAGAUCCAACACAAUUUUUUUAUAUUUUGGAAUUGAAGGGCUCAACAAGGCCUCUCAAAUUCAAUGACUUGUACAAACUUGAUGCAAACUACACGAGCUCUGUGUUUACAUGAACUCGGUUAUGGUACGGGGUGCGGUCGUGCCGUCCAACGUGUCAAACCUUUCUAAACUUAAAUUUUAGAAUAUUAUGAUAUGUGUCCAAAAAUGAGCAUGUCAUGAUUUUUGGUUUUGAUAAAAAGAGUAUUGUCUAUUUUUCCUCUUGUAAAACCAUUGUCAUUCAAUAAUUUGUUUAGCCUAUAUCAUACUCUUGAUGCUUGCUUCAAACCAUAAAGAACUUUGGACAAUUUAAAUACGUAGUUUGGAAAAUCAUGAGUUUUUAACCUGGGAGGUGGUACAACAUACACUUCUUCCGUAAUGUGUCAAUUUAAGAAUGCACUUUUAACAUCCAUUUGAUAGAGUUUAAAGUCCAUGUAUCAUGAAAAUGCAAGUAACAUUCAGAUGGCUUCUAAUCGUGCUACCAGAGCAGAUGAUUAAUCAAAGUUAAUGCCUUUCUCUUGGACUAUAUC
rnacentral:lncRNA from 1 species